GAUGAACGCUGGCGGCGUGCCUAAUACAUGCAAGUCGAGCGAACAGAUGAGGAGCUUGCUCCUCUGACGUUAGCGGCGGACGGGCGAGUAACACGUGGAUAACCUACCUAUAAGACUGGGAUAACUACGGGAAACCGGAGCUAAUACCGGAUAAUAUAUCGAACCGCAUGGUUCAAUAGUGAAAGACGGCUUUGCUGUCACUUAUAGAUGGAUCCGCGCCGCAUUAGCUAGUUGGUAAGGUAACGGCUUACCAAGGCAACGAUGCGUAGCCGACCUGAGAGGGUGAUCGGCCACACUGGAACUGAGACACGGUCCAGACUCCUACGGGAGGCAGCAGUAGGGAAUCUUCCGCAAUGGGCGAAAGCCUGACGGAGCAACGCCGCGUGAGUGAUGAAGGUCUUCGGAUCGUAAAACUCUGUUAUUAGGGAAGAACAAAUGUGUAAGUAACUAUGCACGUCUUGACGGUACCUAAUCAGAAAGCCACGGCUAACUACGUG
rnacentral:rRNA from 1 species